rnacentral:rRNA from 1 species
UACGGAGGGUGCAAGCGUUGCUCGGAAUUAUUGGGCGUAAAGGGUUGGUAGGUGGUCUCGUUUGUCAGGGGUGAAAGCCUUGGGCUUAACUCAAGAAGUGCCCCUGAAACGGCGAGACUAGAGUACUGGAGAGGCUAGUGGAAUUCCCGGUGUAGCGGUGAAAUGCGUAGAGAGUCGGGAGGAACACCAGAGGCGAAGGCGGCUAGCUGGACAGUCACUGACACUCAACAACGAAAGCGUGGGGAGCAAACAGG